rnacentral:rRNA from 1 species
UACAGGGGGCUCGAGCGUUAGUCGGAAUCACUGGGCUUAAAGGGUGCGUAGGCGGCUCGCCAAGUGCUUUGUGAAAUCCCACAGCUCAACUGUGGAACAGCAGGGCAAACUGGCGAGCUUGAGGCAGGUAGGGGCCGGAAGAACAGUUGGUGGAGCGGUGAAAUGCGUAGAUAUCAACUGGAAUGCCGAUGGGGAAGCCGUCCGGCUGGGCCUGUCCUGACGCUGAGGCACGAAAGCCAGGGGAGCAAACGGG